rnacentral:lncRNA from 1 species
AACAAGACAACACAGACUCUGAAACCACUUUCUGUUUACCUUGUUACAUCUGAUCUCUACUUCCCAAACAGGUAUUUUUACUCCCGGCAAAUGUACCUGUGGAUACAUGCUGAGGCCACAAAUACAUAUAUCAUAAAGAUGUGUUCAGAAAAGGAUUUAAAAGAAGACUUUUCUCCAUUUAGUAAUCAUUACCUAACAUCAAAUUGAUGCACGGACAGUGGUAAUGGACACAACUAAAAGAAAACACAAAGAUGUUAAUUCCCAAACUAACCCAAACGGCCCUAUGAAAAUCCUACACCAAGCACAUUGAGGUGCAAGGCAAGCAUCAUUAAUUUACACCCAGUGCAUUGAGCAUUUUUACACAUAGAGCCUUCUUUGCGUAACCAGUGAGUAAACUUCACCCAAACUGAGGCUUUAAAUGUUGGUCUCUAAAUGAGCUAUGGUCUGGGGCAAAGGUUGCUUGUGGCUAUCUAUUGUAUACAGAAAGUCGGUUCUUUGGGACAGGGAAACUGGAGACACCAAUCCUAUUCAAUUUGUCUCUUUCCUACAGGAUACAGUAUUCUGUUCAUAUCAGAAGUCUAGAAUUCAAAGAAACCCUCACUUCCACCCUCUAGGUCAAACUAAUACAUAUCAGUACGUAUAUAGCCAAUGAAAUCUGGCAUUGCUCACUUCUACAAAUAGUUUGUAGAAAUUUUAUGUUGUGGCAGGAUUUGUGAGUAUCUGUCAACAUUUACUGCUGAAUAUAAUGUUUAAAUUGUAUUACCUCAAAAUUAAAGUUUGGAGAUAUUUUUUAUUGGAAAAGAUUUGUCUGCCUGUUUAUGGUUUAUUUUUUCAUAAGAUCUAAUAAAACAAGGCUUUCUGGGUUUUGUCAGUGUAUAACAACAAUGUAGAGUCUAAAAUUUUAAUACCUGAAUAAAAAAUCAAGGUCAAAAUUUAAGCCAAAAUGUAAAUCUCUCUUUUUUUAUUUUGAGGGGGAGUGAAAAUGUACCUUUAAAGAUAAGACACUUUGAGUCCAAGUAAUAUAAAGUGUAAAACAUCAGGAACCAGACAAAUAUAGAUGUUUUUUUUUCUUACUGACAUUUUUCAUUCUGUUACAGUCAGUGAUUUUAGCUGGAAGUUACUCAGUUGAAUAAUAGAGUGUGGUUAUAUUAGCUCUAAUAAAAGUCAGCGAUUUAUUAAAUGUCGUGCAUUGCUUCAUGUGUGUCAAAGAGAAACAGAGAUUAUUAAAUAUUAAUAUUACAUAUACUUGAUUGUGUGUCAUUUUGAGCACACGUCUGAAACUGUGAAUAAAGAUAUUAAUAUCCUUCCAUAAUAAAACUCAUUUCCUCCUCUCUCUGCUCUUAUUCUCUCAGCAUUGGGAUAAACAGAAAGAGAGCAAGCCCCAGGGAGCCGGCAAACAAACAGCAAACAGCAAAUCAACAAAGCAGCUCAUUAUGAAGAUUUACUCUGCUGCUGCUGCUGGUGGUGGUGAUCAUUAGAGGAGAGACGCUGAAACACAGGAAGAAUAAUCCCGACCCACUGCUUUAAUAAUGUAAUCUACUCCCAGCAAAGCUCCAGGAGUGAUGGACCGCAGCUGUUUACAUCUCACUCUCUUCAUUUUAAUAUUUGAUAUUCAAAUGAGGGACGCUUUGAGACACUAACAUCAUAUACAUAUUAAAACAAGUGUUAUGGAAUGAAUUGAGGUAGACCCAGGAUUACUCUGUUAAUCUGGAGAGGUAACAGGUCUUCGAGUAAUACUGCAUAUUCAUGCUGCAGAAUUUAGCAGUGUGUGGAGGUGGCUGAACUUCAGAGUUUUCAUAUUAGGAUGCAUGUAAUCAGGUCAGAGCAUUCACACUGUUAAUAUGAGCAACACAUGAACUACUGCACAGCUGCAGCACGAAAAAAAAACAAGACCACAUACAUGGUUCAUGGUGCAAAGUGGAUUAAGACAUGUCUAACCACAUUUUGCUAGUUAAGUGUUGCACAUUCUGGACAUUCUAAAUGCCAUGCAGGGUAGGAAAAGGUUGGAUUAAAAGUGUGUUUUUGGUAAAAUGUUAAUCAAACAGAUCAGUGUGUCCUGCAUGAUGGACACAACCAUUUUUCCAUUUUCAUUUUAACAGACUGAACUCAAGCAGGCACUUUUAUCCAUUCCCCUACCAGCACACCCCUAACAAUGCCAAAAACUCACACAGAAAAGAACAUCAGUAAUUUUCAGAUGAAAUUGACAAAAAAAGACAGUUUGUGUGACUUUAUACUGUAUUGUGUGCAUAAUGGACAUAUGACAGUCUAAAUAUCUGUGGGCAUGAUUGUGAUGCUGAUGUUUAAGAGCUAUGAAACAAAUAUGUGUCACAACGCGGUGAGGGGUGUCUUGUCCUGGUUUUUCUGUCUUGUCAUUUUCAUGUUUUAUUUUGAAAAAUAACUCUCCUCUCGUUUCGGGUCACUUGCCCUUCCUCUUGUGUCACCGGUCUGACGUCUCCCCUGAUCCCUGAUUGUUUCCACCUGUUCCCCAUUAACCUCAUGUGUCUUAUAGUCUGCGUCUCCCUUUGUCCUGUGCCAGAGUGUCUCGUUUAUUCGUGUAGUUAAGUUCGUAGCCUCCUUUUGUUUCCCUCCUUUUGGAGCGUUUUUUGUUAUAAAUUUUCAUAGUUAUUCCUCUGAAGAUUAGAG